AUCCAAAUUCCUGUCCCAACUGUAUCAGUUUUCUGAUGAUCAGCUGAAAGUGUUUACCAAAAAGGGUGGAGCGUUUAGAAAAAGCAUUCGGGAUGUGAUGGUGCCAAUGUCUCAGAAUGGAGACCAAGCAAGAGUGCAUUCUCAAGGGGCUAUGCAUCCACCUGAAUGAAGAUCCACAGGAUCUGGUGAAUGGAGUAUUUGGAUGAUGACCCUGCAAGAAACAAAGCGGACAUCAAGAAGACCUUUUUGGGGAUCUGUGUUGUAAAGCAUGAAUUUUCUGAUGCAACAGAAGACCCUGAAGAUAUCGGCAUUGUACUGGAAGAUGUGGAGGUGCUCUCUGGUUUAGGUAAUGUAGCAUUGGCUACAGCCCUGCUACUUGGACUAAUAUACUCUUUAAAUCUUACUCAUCCACAGGAGUUCCAUUACACUUUUAAGAUGCUCCAAAAAAUGAUUCUUGAACUGGACUUGUGUAAAUUGUCUGCCAAAGCACGGGCACUGAAAACAAAACUCCUCCGUUAGGUGUGCUGUGUUUGAGGAUCACUUUGUGAACACUGUGUUUUAUUUUCUUGUAAGCUCGUGUUAUUGUUGUACUGCAUUUUUGCAUGGUGAGCAGAGGUGAUUAAGUCUCUCAACCUCAUUUAAUUGGCUCACUCAUUGAAUCUCAUGUUAAAAAUAAAAAUAAAAUGCUGUUAUUCUCUUGUAUGCUCAUGUUUUAUUUGCAUUAUCAUUUUUGAACUUUGAAGAAGGCAUGCAAGGUUAAAUGUGCUCAAGUUUUCAAUACAGAUUUUUACAAAACUUAGUGACU